AGCAUUAUGGGGCAUGUAGUGUUUGCAGAAACGUAUAAAAACAAAAGGCGCUUCCUUCUACUUCCUCUUUACUGUGCGAGCCUGAGCGACACAGGCACUAAAAAGCCACCAUGCCCGUUGCAAGGACUUGGGUUUGUAGUAAGACUUAUGUCACCCCUCGUCGCCCCUUCGAGAAGUCUCGUCUCGACCAGGAGUUGAAACUCAUUGGCGAGUAUGGACUCAGGAACAAGCGUGAGGUUUGGAGGGUGAAGUUCACUCUGGCCAAGAUCCGCAAAGCUGCCAGAGAGCUGCUCACUUUGGACGAAAAAGACUCCAGACGUCUGUUUGAAGGAAAUGCUUUGCUCAGGCGUCUGGUGAGAAUUGGUGUGUUGGACGAGGGCAAGAUGAAGCUGGAUUACAUCCUGGGUCUGAAGGUUGAGGAUUUCUUGGAAAGAAGGCUGCAGACUCAGGUCUUCAAGCUUGGGCUUGCCAAGAGCAUUCACCAUGCCCGCGUUCUCAUCCGCCAGAGGCACAUUCGAGGACCACCUACCUGUAACGCGCUUCGUUGACAUCAUUUAAACAUUUCUGCAAGGUCAAUUCGGCAUCAAUGCCGUAUACCUUGUUUAUAGACAUGAUUGCCCAGAGCCAAUCCUGCCGAUGGCGGCACAAAUGAUGCCACUGUUGUGACUGUCAGUGUGCGCAAGCAAGUGGUGAAUAUCCCAUCCUUUGUGGUUCGUCUGGACAGCCAAAAGCACAUCGACUUCUCCCUGAGGUCUCCAUAUGGUGGUGGACGUCCAGGCCGCGUCAAGAGAAAGAACGCCAAGAAGGGCCAGGGUGGAGCUGGAGGAGCUGAUGAUGAGGAAGAAGAUUAAGAAGGAAGCAUUUUCAACCUCCAUGUUCAAAUCUUCAAUAAAAGAUAUUUGAC